rnacentral:rRNA from 1 species
UACGUAGGGUGCAAGCGUUGUCCGGAAUUAUUGGGCGUAAAGAGCUCGUAGGCGGUCUGUCGCGUCUGCUGUGAAAUUUCGGGGCUCAACCCCGAACUUGCAGUGGGUACGGGCAGACUAGAGUGUGGUAGGGGAGACUGGAAUUCCUGGUGUAGCGGUGAAAUGCGCAGAUAUCAGGAAGAACACCAACGGCGAAGGCAGCUCGCUGGGACGGUACUGACGCUGAGACGCGAAAGCGUGGGGAGCGAACAGG